CUCAUACUCCACCCAAGAACUCUGCAACGUUACUCGUAAAAGUAACUAGUGGACAGUUAUGCCCAAUGGCGUGAAUAAUUACUAAUUGUUCAUUUCUGACCUUAACUUUCAACGGCCAUACAACAAACGUAAAUCUAAUGGUGUGAUUGCUGCCGGCUGCGCGGUCUUAAGCGUGUGUAUAAAGGGCACGAGACGCUGCUCUCCUGUCUCUGGCGAGGAGGACGCACGACUAGGUGACAGCCACGGUGAGGCUGCCGUCAUUCAGCCGCACUUUGAUUUCUGGGCUAGCUCGUUAGAUUGUGCAGGUUUGACAUUUGCGCUACAACGUGCGGCACUUAUGAGGCUAACGGACGUUAGCUUGUGUCGCUAACCCGAGUCACUUCAUGCAGGCCGGCAAUAACGUCAUCAUGUAACGGGGCCACGACGACGGCAGGGCCGAUGCAUUCGUACAAUUCCAUACGGAUUGCAUCAACGCACUCAAUUGUCAGGGUAAAUCCGAAGCAGGAUCUCACCCAGAGACCCCCGACGCUGCACAUCCUGCAGGAAUUGGGGAACGUGGAAGGUGAAGAGGCAGAACAUGAACGUUGCGUCACGUGCAGGUGACCCUGAUGGCUGAAGGAGAACUUUGAAUGACAAGGCAUCAAGUUGAGCUCUUUAACGUUGGCCCAAAGGCUACGACACCUCGCAGGUGUGCCAGAGACUCGUUUCGAGCCCAGAUUACGGUGGUCUGCAUCCACCUGUGAAAGGACUACGAGGAAGCUGCAUCAGUCAGUUUAGACUGACUUGACUGCAGGAACAACCAAGCAUGAUGGUGUGGGACAAACUCUUGGUUUGAGAAGUUUGUUCAGCCUUGAGAAUUUUUUAACCAGAUUGAUGAAAUUAGUCUACUUAACUGCAGGAAAAACCAGCGCCAGUUUUUAAAUCUACUGGUAGUAAUUAUUCUUGCAUCUGAUUUGUCAACCUACAACAUAUUUUGUGCUCUAAUGAGGCAUGACAGUUUCAGGUAGUCUUUAUUGCACCCUGCG